rnacentral:rRNA from 1 species
GCGGCGUGCCUAACACAUGCAAGUCGAGCGGGGUUUUAACAAUGAAGUUUUCGGAUGGAUUUGUUAAUUUCUAGCGGCGGACGGGUGAGUAACGCGUGAGCAACCUGUCUAUCACAGGGGAAUAACGCAUCGAAAGGUGUGCUAAUACCGCAUGACACCACAGGACCGCAUGGUCAAGGGGUCAAAGAUUUAUCGCGUGAUAGAUGGGCUCGCGUCUGAUUAGCUAGUUGGUGAGGUAACGGCCCACCAAGGCGACGAUCAAUAGCCGACCUGAGAGGGUGAUCGGUCACAUUGGAACUGAGAAACGGUCCAAACUCCUACGGGAGGCAGCAGUGGGGAAUAUUGGGCAAUGGGCGCAAGCCUGACCCAGCAACGCCGCGUGAAGGAAGAAGGGCUUCGGGUCUUAAACUUCUAUCCUUUGGGGAAGGAUAAUGACGGUAGGCAAGAAAGGAAACCCCCGGUUAACUACGUGCCAGCAGCCGCGGUAAUACGGAGGAUGCGAGCGUUAUCCGGGAUUUAUUGGGUUUAAAGGGAGCGUAGACGGGAUGUUAAGUCAGUUGUGAAAAGGCUGCGGCUCAACCGCAGCACUGCAGUUGAUACUGGCGUCCUUGAGUGCGGUUGAGGUGUGUGGAAUUCGUGGUGUAGCGGUGAAAUGCUUAGAUAUCACGAAGAACUCCGAUUGCGAAGGCAGCACACUAAGCCGCUACUGACGUUGAGGCUCGAAAGUGUGGGUAUCAAACAGGAUUAGAUACCCUGGUAGUCCACACGGUAAACGAUGAAUACUCGCUGUUGGCGAUAUAUUGUCAGCGGCCAAGCGAAAGCAUUAAGUAUUCCACCUGGGGAGUACGCCGGCAACGGUGAAACUCAAAGGAAUUGACGGGGGCCCGCACAAGCGGAGGAACAUGUGGUUUAAUUCGAUGAUACGCGAGGAACCUUACCCGGGCUUAAAUUGCAGGGGACAGACCGAGAGAUCGGUCCUUCUUCGGACUCCUGUGAAGGUGCUGCAUGGUUGUCGUCAGCUCGUGCCGUGAGGUGUCGGCUUAAGUGCCAUAACGAGCGCAACCCUUGCCAAUAGUUACUAUCAGGUGAUGCUGAGGACUCUAUUGGGACUGCCAUCGUAAGAUGUGAGGAAGGUGGGGAUGACGUCAAAUCAUCAUGCCCCUUAUGACCUGGGCUACACACGUACUACAAUGGCUAUUAACAGAGGGAAGCAAUAUCGCGAGAUGGAGCAAAUCCCCAAAAAUAGUCUCAGUUCGGAUUGUAGGCUGCAACUCGCCUACAUGAAGUCGGAAUUGCUAGUAAUCGCAGAUCAGCAUGCUGCGGUGAAAACGUUCCCGGGCCUU